ncrna:unclassified sequences DTF805b RNA
GUAGGGGAUUCCGAAAACCUAUUAGAGUAGGAA